CCGCAAGGUGGAGCUAAUCCCAGAAAGCCAGUCCCAGUUCGGAUUGCAGUCUGCAACUCGACUGCAUGAAGUUGGAAUCGCUAGUAAUCGCGGAUCAGCACGCCGCGGUGAAUACGUUCCCGGGCCUUGUACACACCGCCCGUCACAUCACGAAAGCCGGCUGUACUAGAAGUCGCCGAGCCAACCCGUAAGGGGGGCAAGCGCCCACGGUAUGGUCGGUGAUUGGGGUGAAGUCGUAACAAGGUAGCCGUA
rnacentral:rRNA from 1 species